rnacentral:rRNA from 1 species
UACGUAGGGGGCAAGCGUUGUCCGGAAUCAUUGGGCGUAAAGCGCGUGUAGGCGGCCCGAUAAGUCCGCUGUGAAAGUCCAGGGCUCAACCCUGGAAUGCCGGUGGAUACUGUCGGGCUCGAGUCCGGAAGAGGCGAGUGGAAUUCCUGGUGUAGCGGUGAAAUGCGCAGAUAUCAGGAGGAAUACCGGUGGCGAAGGCGGCAUCCUGGACUAAUACUGACGCUGAGGCGCGAAAGCUAGGGGAGCAAACGGG